ensembl:lncRNA
AGCGGGAGCACCGGCAGCGGCACCGGGAGCGAGGAGGCGGCCGCGGCGGGGGCCGCGCCGCGCCAUGGCCCAGCAGCAGAUGAGCAGCUCGCAGAAGGCGCUGAUGCUGGAGCUGAAGUCGCUGCAGGAGGAGCCUGUCGAGGGCUUCCGCAUCACCCUGGUCGACGAGUCCGACCUCUAUAACUGGGAGGUGGCGAUCUUCGGGCCCCCCAACACGCUCUACGAGGGCGGGUACUUCAAGGCUCACAUUAAAUUUCCUAUUGACUAUCCAUAUUCACCACCUACCUUCAGAUUCCUGACCAAAAUGUGGCACCCCAACAUUUAUGAGAAUGGAGAUGUAUGUAUUUCAAUUCUUCACCCACCUGUAGAUGACCCACAAAGUGGAGAGCUGCCAUCAGAGAGGUGGAACCCUACCCAAAAUGUCAGGACUAUCUUACUGAGUGUAAUCUCUUUGCUUAAUGAGCCAAACACAUUCUCCCCAGCCAAUGUGGAUGCAUCAGUCAUGUUCAGGAAAUGGAGGGACAGUAAAGGAAAAGACAAGGAGUACGCCGAAAUCAUAAGGUUUUGGCUACCAAAGCUGAGGCAGAGAAGGAUGGCGUGAAGGUCCCCACUACACUGGCAGAGUACUGCAUCAAAACUAAAGUGCCUUCCAAUGAUAACAGUUCAGAUUUGCUUUAUGACGACUUGUACGAUGACGACAUUGACGAUGAAGAUGAGGAGGAGGAGGAUGCCGACUGUUACGAUGAUGAUGAUUCUGGCAAUGAGGAGUCGUGACCUGCUCCCUCUAUGCCCCUGUACUGCCCUGCCGACUCAGGCCAGAAGGGAGCAGCGGUAACCUAGCAGCAGUCCAGCAAAAAAGUGGGGGGGGGUGUCAAAAAAAAAAAAACAAAAACACAAAAACAAAAAAAACCCAACACAAAACUUUGUCUCCUGCUGUCUCCUGUUGUAUGGAUCUGUUUGCUUCUUUUUUAUGGACCUCUUAGAGACCCUCCACAGAAUGUCUGAAUUCUUGCAUUCUUAACCCUUUCAUCACUGUAUUACAAUUUCUUUUUAAAAAAUAAACUCUCCUUUUCACUUCUCUACGAAAUGCUCACAGCAAAACAGGUUUGCUCAUGUUUAGAGUCUUGAAUUAAAUACAGUCCUGCAUUGAGAUGUUUAAUGUAUUUAAAGCUGGAACAAAUCCAUUGGAAGCCGGGUUUUUGGGAGCUCAAAGUGCUGCAUUUACCGGGAAGAAAAAAAAAUCCCCACAAAACAAAUUGCCAAGGUUUAGCUGCUCCAUUUACAAUAAUAGCGUGUGUACAUUCGUUUAGCCUUGUGGUGGUGGCUUUUCCUUUAUAAGGUGUGGGGCAGAGAGUGUAAAGCUACUGUGUGUUGAGCUUGACGGGAUGUCACUGAAAGGUACAGUAAUCCUUUUCAGCCUGCUAAGUAAGUUAGCAAAUAGCUAGCCCCUGGAGCCCCGGAGGGCACAAGCAACUUUGUCUCUGGAAAAGGCUUGUGAUAUGAGCAUCAAAUAAACACCUAACACUUCACAUUGCUCUUUUUUUUUUUUUUUUUUUUUUUUUUUCCCAGACUAGGAUAGAGUUGAAAAAGUUCAGUUUAGCUGUUCUGCUGAGAUCUGCUCCUGCUCCAUGCUGGCUGGCAGCCGUUGCUCCCUGCAGCCCCCAGCCCUGUGCAUCGGGAGCUGCCUUCUGCCGCUUGAGUAGGUCACCUGUGGGCAUGUGCAGCUCUGUGCGGCUGAACUUAAAAAGAGCUGACAUGCACUUGCUUAGAUGCAGGUUUGUCUACACAGAAAAGGUAAUUAGGUACAUGGGAAAUAAAAAGGUUUAUGAUUUCAAAAAAGACAAUCCAAGUGAUAUAGUGUGAGAUCCUAGCUCCCUUAUGAUACCUGGAAUUCUGCCCACCUUUCAUGGGCAUUGACUUCCAUUCUAAUUCUCUGCCUAAACAUGGAGGCUAAAGUUACGGAUUGAGGUUUCAACUACACACAGAAGAGCUCCUAAAAGAGGGGAAUUCUGUUUGUUCUCCUCCAGCACUUGCAUUUUUAUGGAAGCAAAUUCUUUACUGUGGUUUUUCAGCAGAGUGGUAAGAGGUAACAAAGACUAGAUUUUUUUUUUUCUAAGAAAUAUUUUGCAUGCAUUUCCCAGAAGAAUUCAAAGAGCCCUUGGGGCCAGGGGAGUUUGGAGCUCGCUUUGGUGCCCAUGGGGUGUCCGGGCUGUCUGUGCUGUGGGCAGAGGUUGGCAGGGCUGGGCUCUCUCCUGCCCAGCUGUGUCCCUGGGGCACAGCAGUAUGUGCAGCCCCACAGCAGAGCUGGCCGGCAGCAGGUUUUGACAGGCUGUUCAGCAGUGUGCUUCAGCUGAUGGCCCAAGCUCAGCCUCCCGCAUGUCUUUGGGGGCCCUUGGCAGAGCUUAAGGCACUCCGUCAUGGGCAGGGGGAUCCUGCAUGUCCAUGUCUCAGACCCCUCUUCUUCAGGCUGUCGGCUCUCCCUGUUGCAACGUGCUCGUGUUUGGUUGUGGUGCGGUGCCUCAAGUUCCCCUUUUGCAUGAUCCCUGGAUCGGCAGCCGGGCCUGGCAGCCCCAGGAGCAGAUUGGAGGUGCUGGCCCUGCUUGGGCGAGACCCUUGGUCCCCAGAGGUACAGAGGCAUCACCCUGACCAGAGCCUACAUCUUCCCUCCGUGUGUCUCAGGGUUUUCCAUGGUACGUCCCCAGCUGCAGGUCCCUCGGGGGUGCUUUGGUGGGAGUAGGCUUUGUUCUGGAUCUGCUCCGUGGCUGUGUCCCGGGGUAAGACCGAGCAAAAAAGCUCCAAGUGCGCUGCCCGGAUGGAGAGAAAGGCCCUCGGGGCUCUGCAUGAGGUGAUCAAGGCAGAUCUGUUUCCAAAGUGUUACUUGGCUGGGGUUUGCAGGGACAGUCCCUGCCCUGGUGGUGCAUCCCUCUGCCCAAGUGGCAAUUCCUUGUGCCCAAUGGUCCCUCGGCCGCCCGCCCUCCUGCUUGCAUGUUACCUGGGAAGGCAGCUGCACCCUCCUGAAGUGUCAGCCUUCUUCCAGCAAGGACUGACUCAGCCCCAGGUGCUUUUUGGAGCCUGCUGCAGGGCUCCCCUGUGUUUAGUGACAGUGUGGGGCACCCCCAGCUUCACACCAGCCCUGCGAGGUCAGCACCAGGGUUGGCAAAUGGGCCCCUGAUGCUCCCAGCUGCAGGACUGGCCUCGGGGCCACGCCAGGGCAGGGGCCCAACCUCCAACUUUCAGACGGCAGUAGGGAGUGAAGGAGCAGAGUGUGGCAACACUGGCUUUGCUGAUGACUUGGUUGGAAAUGAGGAUACUGCAUCUUUCAGGAUUUCCCUUGUACUUUUGACCGUCUUCACUGUAUACUCUCCAGUGACUUGUAUUUCCAAGCUUGGUGUUGUAAGAUGCAUUAUUACAACUCUUCUGUUACCCUUUUUUAAUGACAAAACAACCCCUUUUGAGAGCUCCGACAUUAACCAGAUUAAUUUCUCUUCCCCACUGUCCUGUGCAGUGUCAUUGCUUGUUGACUUGCUGGUUUCCUUUUUUUGAAAUACAACUGAAGUAUUAGGGGAUUUUUUUGAAACUAUUUAAGAGAUUGCAGAAAAAUGUUUACCUGCUCUGUGUAUUCUGGGUUUUUCUUAGCCCCUUUUCUCCUGUUUCAGUCAAUACUAGCGUUUACAUUUGCAGCUACAUGUCCCUUCAAAUGCAGUUUUCAACCAUUCUGAAACCAGCAGGGUACACUAGAUUUCUUAGUAGUUUUCUUAGCUGAACUCCCGGACCUUUUCCUUUUUUUCUUCAGUAUAAUUUACCAGAAAGAAUUAACUGAUGCAUUUUUGUGUUGUCUUCUCCUUCGGUAGUUAUAUUUUGUCUUUUCUGCACAUCUGUCUACUAAUAAAAAUGU